GACGAACGCUGGCGGCGUGCUUAACACAUGCAAGUCGAACGGUAAGGCCCUGCUUUUGUGGGGUGCUCGAGUGGCGAACGGGUGAGUAACACGUGAGUAACCUGCCCUUGACUUUGGGAUAUCCUCAGGAAACUGGGGCUAAUACCGGAUAGGAGCUCCUGUCGCAUGGUGGGGGUUGGAAAGUUUAGGCGGUAGGGGAUGGACUCGCGGCUUAUCAGCUUGUUGGUGGGGUAGUGGCUUACCAGGGCUUUGACGGGUAGCCGGCCUGAGAGGGUGACCGGCCACAUUGGGACUGAGAGAGGGCCCAGACUCAUACGGGAGGCAGCAGUGGGGAAUAUUGCACAAUGGGCGGAAGCCUGAUGCAGCGACGCCGCGUGCGGGAUGACGGCCUUCGGGUUGUAAACCGCUUUCGCCUGGGACGAAGCGUGAGUGACGGUACUGGGUGAAGAAGCACCGGCUAACUACGUG
rnacentral:rRNA from 1 species